GAUGAAGAACGCAGCGAAAUGCGAUACGUAAUGUGAAUUGCAAAUUCAGUGAAUCAUCGAGUCUUUGAACGCACAUUGCGCCCCCUGGUAUUCCGGGGGGCAUGCCUGUCCGAGCGUCAUUUAAACCUUCAAGCUAAGCUUGGUGUUGGGUGACUGUCCGCUUCACGGCGGACUCGCCUCAAAAUUAUUGGCGGCCGGUACAUUGGCUUCGAGCGCAGCAGAAACGCGAACUCGGGCCCGUCGUAUUGGCUCCCAGAAGCUAUCUUCACAAUUUUGACCUCGGAUCAGGUAGGGAUACCCGCUGAACUUAAGCAUAUCAAUAAGCGGAGGA
rnacentral:misc_RNA from 1 species